UGGCGCCACCUGGUGGUCAGACCACUUACUGUUGAACCCUCGUCAGCAGAAUGGGGACUGUCACGUGACAGGCUUUGAGGGGCACGUACGUGACAUGAUGAGGGGAGUUAAGGGGACUCCUUCAAAGCUCC